AGCUUUUCUUGAUUCUCUUCACAUCUUCUGCUUCCCAAUGUGUGUGUGUGCAAGCUCUGUAGGCAAAUGAAGAAUAGUCAUCUGGCAGAAUCAGCAAGUCAUUGGGCCCACCUGUGCAUCUCCUGAAGGCAAAAUGCUGAUCUGGUGUAAGUCUUGUCUGACUGUCUUUGAAGGAUGGCUACUAUAUUACAUUGAAAUAAAAGCAGUCUAGAUGAUCCUUUGCUGGAGCUGGCUGGACACAGCAGAAGAACUGUUAGAAAAAUUGCUUUUCUGAAUCCUUCUAGAGGUGAAGCACUGGGACCUGGAGGUAUUGAGUUGCCCAGGGUCACGUGGGUUGUGGCAAAGCUCCUUGGCAUAAAUGCAUUCUGACAGAUAUAAUACAUUUUCGAUCUCACAAAUCACGUUAUUCAAAGCACAGAAGGACCUGCAGCAGAGGUGAGCAGAGUAAGGAUGUGGAGAUCUUAUUACAGCCUAUGGGAGGAGAGUUUUGUUUAAGGACCUUGCAGGUAUGCUGGUUUGCAUCAGUUUGGUAGAAGUUGUUGGUUAUUGCAUGCUUCCCACUAUGGAGGGACCCUGAAGAAGCUGAAACUCUUCCACUGAACAAUGUGGUGUUGUCCUGAGAAAGGACACUGGAAAAUGGCCUAAGAUUGAGGAACCCAAAUUGGCUACCACUUGUCAACAUAACCAUUCAGUCUUCCUGUGGGGGAAAAUGUGGCCAAUAGAACCUUCUCACAGAAGUGUUACAGAGAGAAAGACAAACAUUUUCAGUGCCUUCAGGUGCGGGAGUGAUGGGCACUGCAGGAAUGCCCGUUUGGAAAUGAAUCUUUCUGUCUGGGGGCAAAACUGGGAUAAUGCACAAAAAAAGUUGUCCUGAGGGUGAUGCAUGGAGAAGAAAGAACAAAAUCCAGAACUGUUGAAUACUGAGAGCUCUGUCCAGCCUCUGCACAACUUACUUUAGGCCUUAUGGGAAGAGAAAUGAGGGAGUGCAUAUUUGCAUUUUCUUUUGCAGAGUGGAUAUGUGCAGAACAGCAGCUUUAAUCCUGUAACUUCCAAAGUGUUGAAUGCUUGACUUGGAGAUCUGAGUUACAGUUGUUUGAUGUAUUUAUUACUUUUUUUUUUUUUUGCAUCUCCUUACACAAACACAUGAGAUAGGCAGCAUAUAUUUACAUAGUGGAUUCAUGAAGUUUUGCUAAAUUACUGUGAAAGUAACACUUUUCAGAUCCCGUUCACUCAUUCUGGGCCCACAAAGUGAACAUCCUGCUUUGCACUUCUGCUGCUGCAGUUACAGGUUUCUCUUCAUUUUUCUCUUCCUGCAGCUUUGGCAGCUCUUUCCUGUUUUUAUAUAUUUCCAUCUUUCUCUUGAACUGCCAUUUAAAUGACCUUUCCCAUUCACCCUUAAAAUUCCACCCAACCGAAAAGGAGUCCUGCCUCCAGGCCUGUGACUGUGGCCUCUGUAUCCUUGGACAAUGGGACGGGAAGGAAAAAAAAGGGACAUUCCUGCAGGUCCUCGGUGUGUGGAUAACAAACAGGGCACAGGAGGCGAGCAUGUAAAUCAGAAAUCACUCCAUUAGUUUGUUAAGCAUUUUGGAGUGACACCACACACAUUAGGAGCUGGUGGCCACAAUGGAGGGAUCCCAGCCAUUUGAUAUUCAUGAGAUGGAAGAAGGUUUAAGAAGAGAAAAAGGAAGGGGGAGAGAGGGAUGUGGGCUUUCUAAUGUAAACACCAUUAUCAUUUGAAAAUCAAUUAGCUCCUUGCACUGAGGGAAUGAGGAGACUUAAGGCCCUUUCUGAACUGCUUUUGUGAGCCUGGGUUAUUUACUUUAAUUAAGAGGAGACAGAGUGGAUUAUUGUCUCAAACCAAAGAGUUGGGAAGAGUCAGAAAAUUACACUCUACCUCACUGCACAACAAAGCCGGGGUAAGAGACAGGCUCCAAACCCAGCAAAGUCAGAAAGAAAUUAGCCUUUAAUCUGGAUUUGUCCUACAUAAGGCACAAUCAAAAAGAAGCGAGGUUCGCAGCCUUCUUGCUAAGCACGGAUCUCGAUAUUGCAGUUGCUGUCACUGCCAGUGCUCCUGUUGAACUUUAACAUUUGGUCUGGAAGGGGCUUUUGCCCCUGGAAGGGUUAGAGUUUGAGAACAAACUCUAUUUUGUCCUAAAAUUUGACAGAAUGAAGUGUCAGGUGUUGGGCUGCAGUUCCUCCUGCCUGCUCCAACCCACCGAUGUAGAAAUAUUUUGCUUUAGAAACAAAUAUAUUAAAUUGUUGAUGCAAAGA
ensembl:lncRNA